rnacentral:lncRNA from 1 species
AGUGUUGAGAUUCCUCGUCUACACUCCCUCUGAUUUCUCUUUAAGAAAGAGAGCAGGUAUCUGUAACACUUGCUGGGGCAGGAAGACCAUGGAGCCUUGAGGAGAAGAAAACCAAGGCAACCAAAGCAAAAAAAGUUGGCUCUGUUUUCAGAGAAGCCUGAGAAUAAAAGUGUGACUGUAAAGCAAACAAACAAACCAAAGCUGGAAGCCGCAGUCCCACACUCGGCUGGAAUGGAGACUACAGAAUUCAGGUGACAGAAUCUCAUUAAACACACAACCAUUCAGAGUAUCAGGCAUGAAAUCCUGGAGUCUUCCCUGAUUGCAUAGUGCUCUUAAAAGCCCGGACAGUCAAAAGGCGUGACCAAGCCUCAGGGGGCAGAGGCUGCUCAGUGCCAAGGCCUCCUGCCCUCCAGCCCAGCUUGCCUCUGCUCACUCGAUAUAGGCUUAUCUGUCACUCGGGGUCAAAUGGAAACUUCCAAGCCGCCGUGUGCUCAUACACAUGGGCUGUGUCGUAUCAAUGACGUGCCUCCCUUGGAAAACAAAACACCGUCCCUCACAGUUGUCCCCUUGUGCGUAGACAGUGGCAAAUGCUUAUUUGCUAAACCUCCCGUCUCCUUCAUUUCUGGGUCCCAUUGAGAUCAUGGAAACACAAAGUAAAUACCCACAGAAGAAAAAAAAUGGCCCUGAGAGUAUUUAUUUAAGAGUAUUGUUCCAGGAUAUGCACAAAGAUAAAGACUGUGUAAUGAAUGGCGACUCCGGAGGCCAAGCACCAAGACGUUCUAUCCUGUACCAGCAGUUACCCUGGCCAGGAAGAGGCCGUGUGCUACCUCAGGACAUGCCCUUAUAAAAGAGUCACCUUGCCAAGCUGCCAACUGGUUCUCUUUACCCUAGAGGAUCAAGGGAAAGAACAAAGGGAGGAGGCAGGUGUGAUCUGAUCCAUUCACAGCCACAGGAGUAUACAGACAGGCAGGGACUUUUUUCCUGGAGAAGGGACAACAGAUGGUGUCAGAGAAGAACAUUAGUAUUAUGCCAUACCUACAGAUUCCAGAGAGCCCAGGUAGGGCUGUGGGUCUGUGAAACACUAGUAUCUAGUAGCUAGCUCUCUCAGGAAUGUGGGGCAGGGGGAUUCCGGCCUUGUAGAAGCCGCAUGGCAGGAAAACAGGUCUCCACUGGGUUCAGGUGUCUCUAAGACUCAGAGAAAGGUCUCUAAGACCCAGAGAAAGGUUCAUUUAACUUCCAAUGCUCCCCCCCCCCCCACACACACACGGAAACCUCGAAUGAAGGGACAGCAAUUUGGAAGCAAGUCAAAUGAAAUACAGAGCGGAAACCCACUCA